rnacentral:rRNA from 1 species
AUACGUAGGGGGCGAGCGUUGUCCGGAAUGAUUGGGCGUAAAGGGCGCGUAGGCGGCCUGUUAAGUCUGGAGUGAAAGUCCUGUUUUCAAGAUGGGAAUUGCUUUGGAUACUGAUGGGCUUGAGUGCAGGAGAGGUUAUCGGAAUUCCCGGUGUAGCGGUGAAAUGCGUAGAGAUCGGGAGGAACACCAGUGGCGAAGGCGGGUAACUGGACUGCAACUGACGCUGAGGCGCGAAAGUGUGGGGAGCAAACAGGAUUAGAUACCCGGGUAGUCCUAGCCGUAAACGAUGCGGACUUGGUGUUGGGAUGGCUUUGAGCCGCUCCGGUGCCGAAGGGAAGCUGUUAAGUCCGCCGCCUGGGAAGUACGGUCGCAAGACUGAAACUUAAAUGAAUUGGCGGGG